CCUUUAAUAAUACUUAAUACUAGUUACUUGUUUAAUUAACCUUUGAGGUUCAAUGAAACGAUGGUACAUAUUUGAAUUAGAAAAAAUAAUGGUUAUACGUCACGCGAUUUUUUCAUACAUGCACUGUUCGACGUGAAUCCGUUCAGACCGAGCUUAAUGAGUGAACAUUCAAUAAUGGUUAUAGUCGAGCAGGUCGAGCAGACGUGCGUUAUAUGUUACGAUAUUCGACGGUGAUUUGUGGUAAACAAGCCACAAAUAAAACGUUCAAUUAUGAAGAAAAAGGUGCAGGAUUCCAACAGGAGUGGCCUAGUAUGCAAAUGCGAGACGUUGUAAACACAUUUGGAUAUCUGGAGGGGUAGAUCGGUGAGUAUAAAACCCUGAGUGAGCUGCUAAAGAAUGACCAGAUCGAAUUAUCCACAUCGUCAACGUUUAUAGCUGCAAUUUCCGAGUUUGCAAACGCGUCGUCGAUUCCACCUCUCAAGAUGUUUAAGACCAUCGUACUUGUACUUGCCAUCGCAUUGAUUGCUACUGCUAUGCCCCAACGUGGCGGUGGAUACGGAAAUGGAGGCGGACAGUAUGGCGGACAGUAUGGCGGAUACGGUGGGCAUCACGAUGGUGGGUAUCGGGGACACAAUCAGGGUCAUGGCCAGGACCAUGGCCACGGCCAUAACCACGGUCACCAUCGAGGAUAUGGUCGUUAAAUCAAGAAUCGAUAUGGCGAACCGGAAAUCGUGAAACAAAUAAAACGUUCACUGAUCGUUCGAGAUGUGCAAGAGUCCUGCGUCGAGCUUCAAAUUUUCCGAAAAUUUUCCACCACUUUGCAACAGUCCAAUGAAACCAGAAAGGACAACAUCUAUUUCAAAUUAAAACGCACCGUGUUCUUUUACGCUUUCUUAACUUUUCGUUCUUUGUAUUUUCUUGUUUAAUCUGUGAUGGUUACGCGCCAUUGAUGUAAUACAAUUAUUUGUUCAUUCCGUUACAGGAUUUCACGAAUAAAAAUAUGAUUACAUCGAUUUUUCAUCAUGAUUGUUUUGUUCUAGUACGUAAACUUGGUAUAUUAAAUUUUUAAUCGUGUUAGUGGAUAGAAUUAAUUCUGGGUGCAGUAUUGUUCGGAAGCCUUCCUUCAUUUCUCAAUCACUGACUAUACUGAGAGAAAAAUGUACCCAUUUAAAAUAAAUGCUUUCAUUAACAUUAGGUAAAUACUGGAACUUACGGGACUAUGAAAAAAUAUUUCGCUCUAGAAUGGCUUAAUGAAAUGCGACGUUACCACGUCACAAUAUAGCAAUGAAAUACUUCUAUUAAAUAAAGGCAAUUAUUCAUUA